rnacentral:sRNA from 1 species
UUUUUUUUGAGAAACUUUUGAAUGGUUACAGCGGUCCAAACGAAUAAUAACAUUUACAAACCGGAUCGCUUUUUAUUUACCAUUCAUAAAUUAUAGUUUUUAAUAUUGGGACUAAAAAAAAACA